GCGCAGGUGGCGAAAUUGGUAGACGUACUACCUUGAGGUGGUAGCGCCCUCACGGGCAUGGGAGUUCGAGUCUCCCCCUGCGCACCA
rnacentral:tRNA from 1 species